GACGAACGCUGGCGGCGUGCCUAAUACAUGCAAGUCGAGCGGAUCUUCAUUAGCUUUCUUUUGAAGAUCAGCGGCGGACGGGUGAGUAACACGUGGGCAACCUGCCUGUAAGACUGGGAUAACUUCGGGAAACCGGAGCUAAUACCGGAUAAUCCUUUUCCUCUCAUGAGGAAAAGUUGAAAGACGGUUUCGGCUGUCACUUACAGAUGGGCCCGCGGCGCAUUAGCUAGUUGGUGAGGUAACGGCUCACCAAGGCGACGAUGCGUAGCCGACCUGAUAGGGGGAACGGCCACAAUGGGACGCAGACAAGGACCAGACUCCUACGGGAGGCAGCAGUAGGGAAUCUUCCGCAAUGGACGAAAGUCUGACGGAGCAACGCCGCGUGAGCGAUGAAGGCCUUCGGGUCGUAAAGCUCUGUUGUCAGGGAAGAACAAGUACCGGAGUAACUGCCGGUACCUUGACGGUACCUGACCAGAAAGCCACGGCUAACUACGUGCCAGCAGCCGCAGUAA
rnacentral:rRNA from 1 species